GUGUCAGCAGCCGCGGUAAUACAGAGGGUGCAAGCGUUAAUCGGAAUUACUGGGCGUAAAGCGUGCGCAGUCGGUUAUUUAAGUCGGAUGUGAAAUCCCCGGGCUCAACCUGGGAAUUGCAUUCGAUACUGGAUGGCUAGAGUUCGGCAGAGGGAAGUGGAAUUUCAGGUGUAGCGGUGAAAUGCGUAGAUAUCUGAAGGAACAUCAGUGGCGAAAGCGACUUCCUGGACCAGAACUGACGAUCAGGCACGAAAGCGUGGGGAGCAAACAGGAUUAGAAACCCCCGUAGUCC
rnacentral:rRNA from 1 species